rnacentral:rRNA from 1 species
GACCAAGCGAAUAAGCGCACAGGGCGGAUGCCUUGGCGGUAGAAGGCGAUGAAGGACGUGAAAAUCUGCGAUAAGCCUCGGGGAGCUGAUAAUAAGCUUUGAUCCGGGGAUUUCCGAAUGGGAAAACCCAGCUGUUUUUAACAGUUAUCAAGUACUGAAUACAUAGGUACUUGAGGCGAACCCAGGGAACUGAAACAUCUAAGUACCUGGAGGAAAAGAAAUCAACCGAGAUUCCCUAAGUAGCGGCGAGCGAAAGGGGACUAGCCCAGAUUCAACCAUCUUUAUUAAAUUAACAAAAUGUUCUGGAAAGUUCAGCCAUAGUAGGUGAUAGCCCUGUAUGUGAAAAUUUAAUAAAGUGUGAAUCGAUGAGUAGGACGAGGCACGUGAAACCUUGUUUGAAGAUAGGGGGACCAUCCUCUAAGGCUAAAUACUACCUACCGACCGAUAGUGAACCAGUACCGUGAGGGAAAGGCGAAAAGAACCCCGGCGAGGGGAGUGAAAUAGAACCUGAAACCGUGUGCGUACAAGCAGUAGGAGCCCAUUUAUUGGGUGACUGCGUACCUUUUGUAUAAUGGGUCAGUGAGUUACUUUUAGUGGCAAGCUUAACUUUCUUAGGGAGGCGAAGGGAAACCGAGUCUUAAUAGGGCGUUUAGUCGCUAGGAGUAGACCCGAAACCAGACGAUCUAUCCAUGGCCAGGGUGAAGGUGGGGUAAUACCUACUGGAGGCCCGAACCCACCUAUGUUGAAAAAUGGGGGGAUGAGCUGUGGAUAGGAGUGAAAGGCUAAUCAAGUCUGGAGAUAGCUGGUUCUCCCCGAAAACUAUUUAGGUAGUGCCUUAUGUAUUACUCUCGGGGGUAGAGCACUGUUUCGGCUAGGGGGACAUCCCGUCUUACCAACCCGAUGCAAACUCCGAAUACCGAGAAGUAGAGCAUAGGAGACACACAGCGGGUGCUAACGUCCGUUGUGGAGAGGGAAACAACCCAGAUCGCCAACUAAGGUCCCAAAAUCACAAUUAAGUGGGAAACGAAGUGAGAAGUCAAAGACAGCCAGGAGGUUGGCUUAGAAGCAGCCAUCCUUUAAAGAAAGCGUAACAGCUCACUGGUCAAGUCGACUUGCGCGGAAGAUUUAACGGGGCUAAAAUUGUGUACCGAAGUUGCGAAUGCUUAUCUUUUGAUAAGCGUGGUAGGGGAGCGUUCUGUAAGCCUGUGAAGGCGUACUGCGAGGUAUGCUGGAGGUAUCAGAAGUGAGAAUGCUGACAUGAGUAACGAUAAUGCGGGUGAAAAACCCGCACGCCGAAAACCCAAGGGUUCCUGCGCAACGCUAAUCGUCGCAGGGUUAGUCGGUUCCUAAGGCGAGACCGAAAGGUGUAGUCGAUGGACAACAGGUUAAUAUUCCUGUACCGCGUUUACUGCUAUGGGGGGACGGAGAAGGCUAAGCUUACCGGGUGUUGGUUAUCCCGGGAAAAGUAUGUAGGUAGGAAACUUUAGUAAAUCUGGGUUUCUAUUACUGAGGUACGAGACCAUCGAUUUUUUAAUCGAGAAGUAGCUGAUGCCAUGCUCCCAAGAAAAGCCUCUAAGCUUCAGGUAAAACGUGACCGUACCCCAAACCGACACAGGUGGGUGGGAUGAGAAUUCUAAGGCGCUUGAGAAAACUCUGGUGAAGGAACUAGGCAAAUUGGUACCGUAACUUCGGGAGAAGGUACGCCUUU